rnacentral:tRNA from 1 species
UCAGCUCAGCUGGUUAGAGUCCCUCUGCUGCGGGAUUAAUCAGAGGGUCCCAGGUUCAAGUCCUGGAGGGGGAG